GACGGCCACAUCUUCCACCCAACAACAGAUCCCUCACCUCCAAUCCUUCCUGGGUUUUUAUAAUUGGGAACAUGCAGGUAUUUAACAGAAAACAGUGUAAAGUUAUGGCAAGAUUGUAAGUAAAACAUUUUUAGAAAUUUAAACAUGACAGUUUAAAGCUGAUCAGAAUAUGUAAUAACUUUUUUAAGACAGGCCUAUUUCCUUUAGCCAUUCCUCAAAACUGGACAGACAAGAGAACAUGCGUCUAGAGUAAGAUGGAUGUAUAUGUUGACCUUCAAUAGUCUGGAAAUAGCAGCAAAAAACAUCUGCUUACCUGAAGCUGCCUGGAGCUACAGUCUCAGGACUAAUUGAAAUGUUUCAAAUAAUGGAAAUUGUGACAAGCUGAGCGAAUUAGGACCCAGACUUAUCUUGCCAUUAUGCUCAUUCUAGCUGUUUGAAGAGAGAAAUGCCAGGAAGCAUCCAUUUCUGUCACAAGCAUGAUCCCAGCUUUGGGAUCCACCGCUCUAAGGUGUCACCAUCUGGUUUGGGACAAUAACCUGACCAGAGAGAACAUUAGUAGGACAACACACACUGUCAGCUUUCAGAGAACCCUCCGAGGAUUUAACAGUGAAUACUGUAUGUAUUUUUAGUGUCAGUUUCUCCGUUCAAUGUGUUUCUGCUGCCACUAGAGGGAGACACAGGAACACAACAGAAGCUGCUCAGCUGCUAAGAUAACAUGAACUUAAUGUCAAUGUUGUUAAUGAAAAAGCUAUAAUAUUCUUUAAAAUACACACCAUUAAUAUUUCACAAGACCAGAUCAUUUUUCUCAGUCAGUACAAAUUAUGUAAAAAAAAGAAAGUAGGCUA